rnacentral:lncRNA from 1 species
CGUCUCAUAACAUGGAAGACUGGCACAGCUACAUUCCUGGAACACUUAGUUUCUGACUCACAGAGAAUUCUAAAGUCCAUUCUGAGACCAAAGGGAUUUCAACCCUGAUGAGUAAAUAGAGAAGAGAUUCAAAGACAAGGGGCUUCAAGAUGCUGUUGAUUCUGUAUGAACAUGAAGGGCUUCGGCAUGCAGUUACAGUUGGUAGAGAGGAGGAAGAGGCUAUUGGCAUGAUGCAAAUCCUACAAAUAAUAGGAAAACUUACAGGACAAAGGACAUGAACUGAAGCAUGAAAAUUCAAAUCUAGAAUUCUUGAAUAUAAGCUGAGUAGAACAAGGUAGGAGUGAUGUCAUCUUCGACAGCCACCUAAAUGUCUUCCAUACAAUAUU